GACGAACCGUGCGAACGUUGUUCGGAAUCAUUGGGCUUAAAGGGUGCGUAGGCUGGUUCUCAAGUCUGUGGUGAAAUCCCCCGGCUCAACCGGGGAACUGCCGUGGAUACUGGGGAUCUCGAGGGGUGUAGGGGCAUGUGGAACUCAGGGUGGAGCGGUGAAAUGCGUAGAUAUCCUGAGGAACGCCGGUGGCGAAAGCGACGUGCUGGACACCUUCUGACGCUGAGGCACGAAAGCCAGGGGAGCAAACGGG
rnacentral:rRNA from 1 species